AGCGUCAACGUGCAGGUACGAGCACCCCUGCCGAGCGCUCACGUCGGCUCGUGUAUCGCGAGUGCAUAGAGUAAAAACGCGUUUCCGUUUCCGGGUAAAAAGUGCGUUUCUGGCUGAUUAUGCUCCCGUUUCCUGUUGAUGGGUUUCCAGCUGCCUUCCGCGGAACUGCCAAAAAUCGGCUGCGUCGUGCGUUUUUCGUUCUGUUCGGCGUCCUCUGUGCCUCCAGUUUCUCUGACGCUCGGAAUUAGGAGUAAGAUGCCUCUGAGGGACCUGCGGAAGUACUGGAAGGGGAAGCAAGCGGUAAUCGUAGCGGACAGCGGAGGAAACCCAAAGGACAUCGAAGCGCAAAAGGCCCCCGACGACCCUUUGAUCAUCGACGAGAAAACCUCUGCAGAGAACACACUCCUCAACGGCACGAAAUGCUCUCUCCCGAUUUUCCAGGUGUGGCCAAGUCAGGACUCGCCACGAGGGGAAGCCGAUGGACAAAGUUUCGUGUUCCAUUCCGAGGAUGGCUACUCUUCGACAGGACAGAAUGACUCCGGCAUUGAUUCUGUACAGGCGAGUCCCUCGCCGGUGCCGGCGGCGCAGAUCUCUCCCGGGGAGCGGUCCUCGCCGACGCCCUCCUCCAAGUACCGUCGGAAGUCGAGCACGUUCCUGCACCCGGACCACGCGCGGCUUCUCCGCUCGACCGGGCUCGGGACGGCCGCCUCCACGCCGGACGCCUCCGCCGACGAAGACUCCGAGUUCCACGGGAACCAGUCCGGCUCGGCCUCCUCCUCGACGGCCUCCUCGCUCACCUCGGUGGCGGCCGCCGUCGCCGCCAUCGGCGCCCGCCACUCGGACCCGUGGGAGCGCGACCGCCGCCGCUCCUCCACCGUCACCGCCCGCUACUCCCUCCUGGACGCCCUCGACCUGGAGUACGCCCUCAUCCGGGCGGCCGCCCGCGGGAGCGUCGGGCCCUACUCCCUCUCCGAGUCCCUCCACAAGCUCACCUUCACCCAGAGCCUCGCUUUCCCGGCGCUCGCUCGGGGGCUCGCCAGCAAGCGCCGCCCAUCCCAGGUGCGAACAACCCCUUUGGACCCAGCCGACUCGGGUCUCAACGCCUUCGCCAAGAUCGUGACAGCACUGGUGUUGAUGUUCGUAAGUGUCAUGGUGUUCGCCGUGGUGUACAAGUUCGUGAGGACGUGAGGGUUGCUGCUGUCCCACGUGCAGGGGCAGCCGAACGAGUUCUACAACCAGUCGGACGCAUCACCGCUCCGGUAGCCCUCGUGGCGUUGCCCGCCCAGUGGGACAGCCUAUCUACACCCGUGGAACAGCCUAUCUACAUCCGUGAAACAGCCCAUCUACACCCACAUUCCGUUGUAAAAAAGUGUUUCUUGCAAGUGUGGACAAUCAUCGCGUGCAGUGUUCGAAACUAAACGUUGAGUUUUAGGAGCCAUGUGGCGCAUCAAGCCCGAUUUUUAUGCGCCAUUGAAGAUUUUUUAGGGGCCAA
rnacentral:lncRNA from 1 species